CUGUUUGAAAUUAAUCAAACCAUAGUUGACCUGAAGCCAUGUGACAUUAAAAGAAAACAAUGAAGAGGAGGAGGAGGAAGAAGAGGAAGAGGAGGAAGAGGAGGAGGAGGAGGAAGAAGAGGAAGAGGAGGAAGAGGAAGAAGAGGAGGAGGAGGAGGAGGAAGAGGAGGAGGAGGAGGAGGAGGAAUUGCUGAGCCCAGCCAGGUAGGAAGAGGCCUAAGGACACAGCUCACUGGAAGGAUAGUAGGACAGGAUGUGGGAGGCUCUGGAGUCAACCCACCACCCCAAAGUUCCACUGCUACACUGCUGCUGCUAAUAAUAAUAUUACUGCUAAUAUUAAUAAUAACAUCAAUAAUGAUGAUGA